GCUCGAGUGGCGAACGGGUGAGUAACACGUGAGUAACCUGCCCUUGACUUUGGGAUAACUUCAGGAAACUGGGGCUAAUACCGGAUAGGAGCUCCUGCUGCAUGGUGGGGGUUGGAAAGUUUCGGCGGUUGGGGAUGGACUCGCGGCUUAUCAGCUUGUUGGUGGGGUAGUGGCUUACCAAGGCUUUGACGGGUAGCCGGCCUGAGAGGGUGACCGGCCACAUCGGGACUGAGAUACGGCCCAG
rnacentral:rRNA from 1 species